GCGGCCGCGGGCGACUCCUGGCACCCCCGAGGCCCCGCGAACUCACCUUCACAAAGCUGUCGGCGUCCGGGAAGCCUGGCAGCACCAUCUCUUCGUCGGAUUUGGACGCGCUGGUCGCCGACAGGACCCUGGGCUCCCGGGUACUGGGUGGCGCCAUUUUUUCAGCCUGCACAGCUCGUCUCGCGAGAGCUUCUCGGCCGACGCGACGGGACGCGUGCGCACCACGCAUGCGCCAGGUAAGCUUCUGAAGAAAGCGUCUAGCUCCAACUGUGCUUCCUCCCUCCAGUACCCUCUGAACUCCAAGCAGACGUUCUUUCCUGCAGACAUCGCUGGAACCAUUCUGGUUAACAGAGUGGGAACUCAGUACACAUUUGUGAAGUGAACUCUUGGAAGAGCUCUUGUGAGGAAGGCACCGAAUUAUCAGGCAGCUCAAGAGAUAGAUUCUCUCCUGAAAUUAGAGAUGGGAUGCCCUUAAUACAAA
rnacentral:antisense_RNA from 1 species